GUUAAGCGACUAAGCGUACACGGUGGAUGCCCUGGCAGUCAGAGGCGAUGAAGGACGUGCUAAUCUGCGAUAAGCGUCGGUGAGGUGAUAUGAACCGUUAUAACCGGCGAUUUCCGAAUGGGGAAACCCAGUGUGUUUCGACACACUAUCAUUAACUGAAUCCAUAGGUUAAUGAGGCGAACCGGGGGAACUGAAACAUCUAAGUACCCCGAGGAAAAGAAAUCAACCGAGAUUCCCCCAGUAGCGGCGAGCGAACGGGGAGGAGCCCAGAGCCUGAAUCAGUGUGUGUGUUAGUGGAAGCGUCUGGAAAGGCGCGCGAUACAGGGUGACAGCCCCGUACACAAAAAUGCACAUGCUGUGAGCUCGAUGAGUAGGGCGGGACACGUGGUAUCCUGUCUGAAUAUGGGGGGACCAUCCUCCAAGGCUAAAUACUCCUGACUGACCGAUAGUGAACCAGUACCGUGAGGGAAAGGCGAAAAGAACCCCGGCGAGGGGAGUGAAAAAGAACCUGAAACCGUGUACGUACAAGCAGUGGGAGCCUCUUAAUGGGGUGACUGCGUACCUUUUGUAUAAUGGGUCAGCGACUUAUAUUCUGUAGCAAGGUUAACCGAAUAGGGGAGCCGAAGGGAAACCGAGUCUUAACUGGGCGCUAAGUUGCAGGGUAUAGACCCGAAACCCGGUGAUCUAGCCAUGGGCAGGUUGAAGGUUGGGUAACACUAACUGGAGGACCGAACCGACUAAUGUUGAAAAAUUAGCGGAUGACUUGUGGCUGGGGGUGAAAGGCCAAUCAAACCGGGAGAUAGCUGGUUCUCCCCGAAAGCUAUUUAGGUAGCGCCUCGUGAAUUCAUCUCCGGGGGUAGAGCACUGUUUCGGCAAGGGGGUCAUCCCGACUUACCAACCCGAUGCAAACUGCGAAUACCGGAGAAUGUUAUCACGGGAGACACACGGCGGGUGCUAACGUCCGUCGUGAAGAGGGAAACAACCCAGACCGCCAGCUAAGGUCCCAAAGUCAUGGUUAAGUGGGAAACGAUGUGGGAAGGCCCAGACAGCCAGGAUGUUGGCUUAGAAGCAGCCAUCAUUUAAAGAAAGCGUAAUAGCUCACUGGUCGAGUCGGCCUGCGCGGAAGAUGUAACGGGGCUAAACCAUGCACCGAAGCUGCGGCAGCGACACUAUGUGUUGUUGGGUAGGGGAGCGUUCUGUAAGCCUGUGAAGGUGGCCUGUGAGGGUUGCUGGAGGUAUCAGAAGUGCGAAUGCUGACAUAAGUAACGAUAAAGCGGGUGAAAAGCCCGCUCGCCGGAAGACCAAGGGUUCCUGUCCAACGUUAAUCGGGGCAGGGUGAGUCGACCCCUAAGGCGAGGCCGAAAGGCGUAGUCGAUGGGAAACAGGUUAAUAUUCCUGUACUUGGUGUUACUGCGAAGGGGGGACGGAGAAGGCUAUGUUGGCCGGGCGACGGUUGUCCCGGUUUAAGCGUGUAGGCUGGUUUUCCAGGCAAAUCCGGAAAACCAAGGCUGAGGCGUGAUGACGAGGCACUACGGUGCUGAAGCGACAAAUGCCCUGCUUCCAGGAAAAGCCUCUAAGCAUCAGGUAACAUCAAAUCGUACCCCAAACCGACACAGGUGGUCAGGUAGAGAAUACCAAGGCGCUUGAGAGAACUCGGGUGAAGGAACUAGGCAAAAUGGUGCCGUAACUUCGGGAGAAGGCACGCUGAUAUGUAGGUGAAGCGACUUGCUCGUGGAGCUGAAAUCAGUCGAAGAUACCAGCUGGCUGCAACUGUUUAUUAAAAACACAGCACUGUGCAAACACGAAAGUGGACGUAUACGGUGUGACGCCUGCCCGGUGCCGGAAGGUUAAUUGAUGGGGUUAGCGGUAACGCGAAGCUCUUGAUCGAAGCCCCGGUAAACGGCGGCCGUAACUAUAACGGUCCUAAGGUAGCGAAAUUCCUUGUCGGGUAAGUUCCGACCUGCACGAAUGGCGUAAUGAUGGCCAGGCUGUCUCCACCCGAGACUCAGUGAAAUUGAACUCGCUGUGAAGAUGCAGUGUACCCGCGGCAAGACGGAAAGACCCCGUGAACCUUUACUAUAGCUUGACACUGAACAUUGAGCCUUGAUGUGUAGGAUAGGUGGGAGGCUUUGAAGUGUGGACGCCAGUCUGCAUGGAGCCGACCUUGAAAUACCACCCUUUAAUGUUUGAUGUUCUAACGUUGGCCCGUAAUCCGGGUUGCGGACAGUGUCUGGUGGGUAGUUUGACUGGGGCGGUCUCCUCCUAAAGAGUAACGGAGGAGCACGAAGGUUGGCUAAUCCUGGUCGGACAUCAGGAGGUUAGUGCAAUGGCAUAAGCCAGCUUGACUGCGAGCGUGACGGCGCGAGCAGGUGCGAAAGCAGGUCAUAGUGAUCCGGUGGUUCUGAAUGGAAGGGCCAUCGCUCAACGGAUAAAAGGUACUCCGGGGAUAACAGGCUGAUACCGCCCAAGAGUUCAUAUCGACGGCGGUGUUUGGCACCUCGAUGUCGGCUCAUCACAUCCUGGGGCUGAAGUAGGUCCCAAGGGUAUGGCUGUUCGCCAUUUAAAGUGGUACGCGAGCUGGGUUUAGAACGUCGUGAGACAGUUCGGUCCCUAUCUGCCGUGGGCGCUGGAGAACUGAGGGGGGCUGCUCCUAGUACGAGAGGACCGGAGUGGACGCAUCACUGGUGUUCGGGUUGUCAUGCCAAUGGCACUGCCCGGUAGCUAAAUGCGGAAGAGAUAAGUGCUGAAAGCAUCUAAGCACGAAACUUGC
rnacentral:rRNA from 1 species